rnacentral:rRNA from 1 species
AACGAACGCUGGCGGCAGGCCUAACACAUGCAAGUCGAACGCCGUAGCAAUACGGAGUGGCAGACGGGUGAGUAACGCGUGGGAACAUACCCCUCGGUUCGGAAUAACUCAGGGAAACUUGAGCUAAUACCGGAUACGUCCGAGGUUUUAAUCGGCCUUGGAGAAAGAUUUAUCGCCGGAGGAUUGGCCCGCGUCUGAUUAGCUUGUUGGUGAGGUAAUGGCUCACCAAGGCGACGAUCAGUAGCUGGUCUGAGAGGAUGAUCAGCCACAGUUGGGACUGAGACGACGGCCCAAACUCCUACGGGAGGCAGCAGGUGGGGAAUAUUGGACAAUGGGACGAAAGCCUGAUCCAGCCAUGCCGCGUGAGUGAU